rnacentral:rRNA from 1 species
GAUGAACGCUGGCGGCGUGCCUAAUACAUGCAAGUCGAGCGAACAGACGAGGAGCUUGCUCCUCUGACGUUAGCGGCGGACGGGUGAGUAACACGUGGAUAACCUACCUAUAAGACUGGGAUAACUUCGGGAAACCGGAGCUAAUACCGGAUAAUAUAUUGAACCGCAUGGUUCAAUAGUGAAAGACGGUUUUGCUGUCACUUAUAGAUGGAUCCGCGCCGCAUUAGCUAGUUGGUAAGGUAACGGCUUACCAAGGCAACGAUGCGUAGCCGACCUGAGAGGGUGAUCGGCCACACUGGAACUGAGACACGGUCCAGACUCCUACGGGAGGCAGCAGUAGGGAAUCUUCCGCAAUGGGCGAAAGCCUGACGGAGCAACGCCGCGUGAGUGAUGAAGGGCUUCGGAUCGUAAAACUCUGUUAUUAGGGAAGAACAAAUGUGUAAGUAACGAUGCACGUCUUGACGGUACCUAAUCAGAAAGCCACGGCUAACUACGU